rnacentral:rRNA from 1 species
CCUACGGGUGGCAGCAGUAGGGAAUCUUCCACAAUGGGCGAAAGCCUGAUGGAGCAACGCCGCGUGGGUGAAGAAGGUCUUCGGAUCGUAAAACCCUGUUGUUAGAGAAGAAAGUGCGUGAGAGUAACUGUUCACGUUUCGACGGUAUCUAACCAGAAAGCCACGGCUAACUACGUGCCAGCAGCCGCGGUAAUACGUAGGUGGCAAGCGUUAUCCGGAUUUAUUGGGCGUAAAGUGAACGCAGGCGGUCUUUUAGGUCUGAUGUGAAGGCCUUCGUCUUAACCGGAGUAGUGCAUUGGAAGCUGGGAGACGUGAGUGCAGAAGAGGAGAGUGGAACUACAUGUGUAGGGGUGAAAUGCGUAGAUAUAUGGAAGAACACCAGUGGCGAAAGCGGCUCUCUGGUCUGUAACUGACGCUGAGGUUCGAAAGCGUGGGUAGCAAACAGGAUUAGAUACCCUUGUAGUC